GCCCAAUCAUUCCCUUAAAGGGGAAGGAAAAAAUAUGUUUUUCUGGGGAAAGCAUACUUUUUUUUCACUUAAGGAUUAUGCAACCUAUGUCACAUUGCAUGUCUGCUUCUCUUUAACUUCUUUUCAAAGAUGGGAGACACAGCCCCUUAUCCUGUGGAGAAGAGCUCAUCUUCCUUAAAAUGUUAUGGCUUUUUGUAUAUGCACCGUCUUACUUUCUCAUGGAUGUCUUAAGGUACCACACCACUGUAGGGGAAGCUGUAGCCACACCUGCUUAGGGGCUGGCUACAGGUCUGCCUGACCACGCAUGCGAGGGCGUGGUCAGGGUGAUGUAGAGUAAGAGACAGUCAGGGGCCAUUUUUGGUUUCAGUUUCAUUUUCGGCUUGCUGUACAGACUGCUGCCCGCUGGCUGGCUAGGUCGCUCUAUUAAUGCAGCUCUCAGUCCUCACCAAAGAAGAGUUUUCCAGUGGACAAGUUAAUACAGAGAUUCACAACUGGCUGACAAGCAAAGAAUAUCUGAUUAUGGAAUGCCUAGUUCCUAAAGAAACAUCUGUGCUAACCCAACCCCACCACCAAGGCUUAGGGACCAUCAAGGAAAACAGGGCCGGAAGUUGGGCAGAGGGACUGCACUGAAAUAUCCUGGGUAUUCAGAGGCACUCAUAGACUCACUGAAACUGUUGUUACCUGCACAAGUACCAAAUAAGAUUGACUCUGUCCUUAUUUCAUCAGGGAAGAGGGAAGAGCUCAUGAGUUCUCAUCCAUCCCUGAAGGAUUAUUGACAGUUGAUGGUGACUGGGGGAAGAAUGUCACUUUCUUCAGUGGUGUGACUACAGAUGAGCUGUUCAUGCUUCAGUGUAGGGGAAACCUUACCCAUGCCUACUAGGGACUGCCUACAGGUAUGCCUGUGAUCAGGGUGACAUAGUGAAGGUUUAAGAGUGAGGGGAAAGCACAUGAAACUCCCUUUCCUUUUCAUCAUUGGCUUGCUGUACUUACUCCUGCCCUGCCAGCUGGCUAGGUCACUCUGUAAGUAAGUCUUUUCCCUAAUAAAUACCCUUAUAUUUAACCUGACUCAGUAUUGGUAAAUUCCCACAUUAUUCUGGUGUCAGAAGCAGGAUCUUGUAAACUUAAGUCCGGUUUGGGACUGCCUGCAGGUCCCAUCUGGAUAGCGGAAUAGCCAGCCAGGGAAAGCCCCCUCUCUCCACAGGUGCUCCCUGCUGCACAGCCAACCAGCUGCAUGAAACAAGUGCAUUCCCAUUGCCGCUGAGUUGCUCAGAACAGCCCGCCCAGCUGAGAGAGUUCUACAGACCUCCCCACUGUUUUACUGCUGCAGUUUCUAGCUGUGCAUGCUCCGGACUGGCCCGGAUUGUGGCCUGCCCAUGCCCGGAGGCCUCCUGCCCUUGAGCCGAGUAGGCCUCAGGAGUAGGCCACAGCUUUCAGCAGGAUCCUCGGUGUACCCUUGCCGUGGCGGCUGUAAAGCUGCACCUCUCUCAGCAGUUGUGGCCAAAAGGCUUUACAUGCUCCCAGCUAAGUGCAGCCACCUGUGUGACCUCAGCCCCACUGCCACUGCCAUCUUGCCUAACCAGCCACUGCCCAGAGCUGUGUGGACUGGUUGACCACCUGUGUCACCUGCUGCUCAAAGGUGGUUACUGUAUCUGUAGUAGAAGCCACCAGGUAAAAUCAUGGCAGAAUAUUUAUCAUUUGCUUCAAUUGGUAAUAUCUUUGCUUCUUACGUGAAUUCAAUGUUCGAGGAGGAUGCUAAUCUGCCAAUUACCUGCCUAUAUGCAGUAAUGGCAGUUAGCUUGCUGUUACAAAUAACAUUACUAGCCAGAGGACACAGGAACAGGGACAAAGAUAACCUCACCACCUGCUUGCAGGGAAUAACAGCUUUAUGCAAUGAGGUUUUGGAGAAUAAAUUAGGUCAUGCCACAUUGUGCAGCAUGUGGAACAGAAGUUGGAUGAUAAGCUUGGCUCUAUGUCUGAUACGAUAAAGGCAGAGCUGUCUGUUACCCAAGAUGAGAUGCAGUGUAUUUAUGAUAAGAUAAACACAGAGAUGCUCCAUGUCUGAGGUGUCAGAGGCUAGGCUGUCAGAGGACUGUGAUGAACUAAAGAAUAUCUGUAGAAAACUAGAAACUCAGAUAGGCUCUGAGAUCCAAAAACUAGAUGCAAAGGUGCAAAAUACCC
rnacentral:lncRNA from 1 species